rnacentral:rRNA from 1 species
GCGGCGAACGGGUGAGUAACACGUGAGUAAUCUGCCCUGCGCUCUGGGAUAGCCACCGGAAACGGUGAUUAAUACCGGAUAGGACCACUUCACGCAUGUGAUGGUGGUGGAAAGUUUUUUCGGCGCAGGAUGUGCUCGCGGCCUAUCAGCUUGUUGGUGAGGUAACGGCUCACCAAGGCUUUGACGGGUAACCGGCCUGAGAGGGUGACCGGUCACACUGGGACUGAGACACGGCCCAGACUCCUACGGGAGGCAGCAGUGGGGAAUAUUGGACAAUGGGCGGAAGCCUGAUCCAGCAACGCCGCGUGAGGGAUGACGGCCUUCGGGUUGUAAACCUCUUUCAGUACCGACGAAGCGCAAGUGACGGUAGGUACAGAAGAAGGACCGGCCAACUACGUGCCAGCAGCCGCGGUAAUACGUAGGGUCCGAGCGUUGUCCGGAAUUAUUGGGCGUAAAGGGCUCGUAGGCGGUUUGUCGCGUCGGGAGUGAAAACACCGGGCUUAACUCGGUGCUUGCUUUCGAUACGGGCAGACUAGAGGUAUGCAGGGGAGAAUGGAAUUCCUGGUGUAGCGGUGAAAUGCGCAGAUAUCAGGAGGAACACCGGUGGCGAAGGCGGUU